rnacentral:tRNA from 1 species
CAAGCUAAAGCUUAUAAUAGCUUGUUAUUUACACUAACAUGAAUAUUGUUAAUUCAAUAUAGUUUGA